CCCUAGCCCUGAUGGCAGUGAAAAUCCUUUUGGGUCGGGGUUCGACCCAAAAGAUUGUAACGUACAGCAGGAAUAGCU
rnacentral:snRNA from 1 species